AUGGCUCAGGAUGAACGCUGGCGGCGUGCUUAACACAUGCAAGUCGAACGAGAAUUCGCGGAAAGAGGAUUCGUCCAAUGGAAGCGGAGGAAAGUGGCGGACGGGUGAGUAACGCGUGAGGAACCUGCCUUGGAGUGGGGAAUAACAGUCCGAAAGGGCUGCUAAUACCGCAUGAAGCAUAGGGGUCGCAUGAUCUUUAUGCCAAAGAUUUAUCGCUCUGAGAUGGCCUCGCGUCUGAUUAGCUGGUUGGCGGGGCAACGGCCCACCAAGGCGACGAUCAGUAGCCGGACUGAGAGGUUGGCCGGCCACAUGGACUGAGACACGGCCCAGACUCCUACGGGAGGCAGCAGUGGGGAAUAUUGGGCAAUGGGCGCAAGCCUGACCCAGCAACGCCGCGUGAAGGAAGAAGGCUUUCGGGUUGUAAACUUCUUUUAUCAGGGACGAAGCAAGCGACGGUACCUGAUGAAUAAGCCACGGCUAACUACGUGCCAGCCGCAGC
rnacentral:rRNA from 1 species